rnacentral:tRNA from 1 species
GCCUGAGUAGAAGAACAUAUGCGCUUAGUUUAGGGCUAAGAGGAAGAGAAUAGGUU